rnacentral:snRNA from 1 species
AUGCCUGAGCGGGGUAAAGCCAG